ACCCGCACAAGCAGCGGAGCAUGUGGUUUAAUUCGAAGCAACGCGAAGAACCUUACCAGAUCUUGACAUCCAAUUGACCAUCUUUUAAUCGAGUAUUUUACCUUCGGGUACAAUUGAGACAGGUGGUGCAUGGUUGUCGUCAGCUCGUGUCGUGAGAUGUUGGGUUAAGUCCCGCAACGAGCGCAACCCUUGUGUUUAGUUGCAAACAGGUCAAGCUGUGCACUCUAGACAGACUGCCGUGGACAACACGGAGGAAGGUGGGGAUGACGUCAAAUCAUCAUGCCCCUUAUGAUCUGGGCUACACACGUGCUACAAUGGCCGGUACAACGGGCAGCGAAGGAGCGAUCCGGAGCGAAUCCUAAAAAGCCGGUCCCAGUUCGGAUUGCAGGCUGAAACUCGCCUACAUGAAGUUGGAGUUGCUAGUAAUCGCGAAUCAGAAUGUCGCGGUGAAUGCGUUCCCGGGUCUU
rnacentral:rRNA from 1 species